rnacentral:lncRNA from 1 species
AUGGGUUAUGUAUUAAGCAAGAGAUUUAGGGAAUCAAGAGAGAUCUUGGAUGUGGGGCCACUACAUUGGGCCGUAAAUUAUGAGGGGGAGGGGGGUUAAUUGUAAGUUUUGAUGGUAAGUAGGUAAUUAAUGGAAGUUAAGUGUAAAAGUCUAGUGUUUUAUGUGUAGGAUGCAUUAUGCAGUAUGUUAGGGUGUUCGGGAACCAUAACUAGCUCAGAAAGAGUAAAACAAUGCUUCUAGCAAUAUUUUAGUGUUCUGGGUAAUGUCCGGUUGUUCGGUUAGAUACCGGAAGGUAUUCUGGACCAACUAGUCAUAUUUUUACAUGUUAUAAACUUGUCACAAUGCUGAAUUUUGCUGAAAUGUAUGAAAUUCAGCAUUUAAAGUGUGUUUCGGGUGCUUUUCAGUGCGUAUUUUAGCUUCCGGAAAGUCUAUAUGUUAACCCUUGUAUGUACUCUUGGGUUUUAAUGUAUUCUUGACGUUGGACCUACACCUAGGCCCCAAUUCUAUUGUCCGACUGCUUUCUGCAGAAUUGUUGACACAGUGUGUCUUACCGGUGAUUUUACUAGUAUUUCUGACGCAAUCAUUAAUGCAUAAAGCAAUAUUUGUAGUAUUAAAACGUGCAUGAAUUCACAUGUAUAGCAUGUAACCAGACAAUGUUGACAUUUAAGCACAUAAUUGCAAUCAUUAAAUAAUAAUUAAAGUGUACGGAAAUUACCGGUUUGGUGCCAGUUGUCACAAGUACGAUAAAGCUGGUUAGUUGGUUGGAUUCGAGUGGGUUGCAUAAACGAAAUAAUAAUUUGGUUCAUGCGAUUAUUCUUACCGCUUGGUGAGUCAUUUGGAGGUUUCGCAACACUGUAGUGUUCGUCUGUAAGGAGCAUAAAAAAGGAAGCAUAUUCGACUCUAUUCUUAAUUUUUCCUUAAUGUGCAUCGUUAACAGGUGUAGGAAAAUUAACGUUAAUUGGACGGGUUGGCUAAACAAAUCCGCUCAUAAUGGUGUAAUGUUUUGUUUUUUGACAUAACAUUUGGCAAGCAGUUUUUAUAAAACUUUGCAAUUUUAAAAAAGGAUGGUUAUUUACCCGCAUAAUCCAUAAUGGUACGAAUAAAUGACAGAAUAAGGUACGAAUAAAUGACAGAAUUAUUCGUGUUCAAUACUUUAGUUUUUUUUCUAGAACCAAAAAACAAGCACUCACAGGGAGUUGGAUAAAAGAGAACAACAUAAACACAUAAAUACAUUCAACGAUGAAAACAAACUUAAAACAUACAAGAAAUAUCAAGAUGGAGACACCCGUACUAGUUUGACCAAGUAAUGUUUUUACUUUUGUAUCUAUGAUAAAUCUUCAAGAAGAAAUGGGGGGUCCUCAAUCAACUUCGAUUGUUAAGUAAUUAAGUUUAACUUAUGCAAACUCUUAU